GUAGGUGGCAAGCGUUGUCCGGGAAUUAUUGGGGCGUAAAGCGCGCGCAGGCGGUUCUUUAAGUCUGAUGUGAAAGCCCACGGGCUCAACCGUGGAGGGUCAUUGGAAACUGGAGAACUUGAGUACAGAAGAGGCAAGCGGAAUUCCACGUGUAGCGGUGAAAUGCGUAGAGAUGUGGAGGAACACCAGUGGCGAAGGCGGCUUUCUGGUCUGUAACUGACGCUGAGGCGCGAAAGCGUGGGGAGCAAACAGGAUUAGAUACCCUGGUAGUCCACGCCGUAAACGAUGAGUGCUAAGUGUUAGGGGGUUUCCGCCCCUUAGUGCUGCAGCUAACGCAUUAAGCACUCCGCCUGGGGAGUACGGCCGCAAAGGCUG
rnacentral:rRNA from 1 species